GGAGGGAUACCGAAGUGGUCAUAACGGGCUGGUCUCGAAAACCAAGCGUGGGGAAACCCACCCGUGGGUUCGAAUCCCACUCCCUCCGCCA
rnacentral:tRNA from 1 species